rnacentral:rRNA from 1 species
UAAGGAAUAUUGGUCAAUGGACGCAAGUCUGAACCAGCCAUGUCGCGUGAAGGAUGAAGGUCCUCUGGAUUGUAAACUUCUUUUAUCUGGGACGAAAACGGGAUUUUUAUCUCAAUUGACGGUACCAGAGGAAUAAGCACCGGCUAACUCCGUGCCAGCAGCCGCGGUAAUACGGAGGGUGCGAGCGUUAUCCGGAUUUACUGGGUUUAAAGGGUGCGUAGGUGGGCUUAUAAGUCAGUGGUGAAAUCUCAUAGCUUAACUAUGAAACGGCCAUUGAUAUUGCAGGCCUUGAGUAAAUUUGAAGUAGCUGGAAUAAGUAGUGUAGCGGUGAAAUGCAUAGAUAUUACUUAGAGCACCGAUUGCGAAGGCAGGUCACUAAGAUUUAACUGACGCUGAUGGACGAAAGCGUGGGGAGCGAACA